GGAGAACCGGGGAGAAGAGCGGGGAAGCGAUGGGGAGAACCGGGAAGAAGCCCGCGCCCGGAAGCGGCAGGGGUACCUGCGGGGCGGCAUGAGCCGGCGAGGUAGCCCCGGGGUCCUUGCCGGGUCGGGUGGGGGAGGAAGGGACAUGGCGGUAGGAACCUCCAUCCGGAAGAUCAGUGAGCUUUCCACCUCCGGUUUAUGUUUUAAAUUGAUCCUGGCAGAGGGAGUCGCCUGGAGCGCCCUCGGGGGUCGUUCUGCCUCUGAGCUGUAGGACGGGGCGGGGAAUCCCCUCCGAAGCGUGGGUACAGCGCGAUCACUUCCUAAGUGCUCCCCUGACCCCCAACUCCGCCCCACGCCACCCCCUAGAAUGUCGAGGAAGAAACGGCUGGGUCCCCGCGCGCCUCCUGUCGCCUCGUUCCCCGCGCGGCGUGGGCGGGGUCCCGGCUGCUGCAAUGCGGGACACGGCGGGGGUGCGCGGGGUUCCCGCCUGGCGUCUCCGGGGCGGUCCGGCAGCCCCUCGCGUUUCCGCAGGGAGAUUUUAAAAAAGGGUUUCCUGCGCUCGCAUGUGCUGUCGCCUUCCGGCUCGUGACAAAACCGAAAACCAAAAUGGGUCCCAGGCCCUCCCCGCCAGCCUCCGCAGACGGGAAGGAUCAGGAAGCGGGGACUCCGGGAUGUCAGCGGCGCCGCGGCGCCGGCUCCGGGCUUCCCUGCCCUGCAAUGUGGAAGCUGCUCUCUAGGAGGGGGCCGAGGCUCGGCCCACGGACGCGGACGCGCUGGGAGGAUAUUUAACAUUGAAGAGCGGAAGGGUUGGGUUCUCAGAGAAAGAAAACGUGAUGCAGAAGAGGCUGGGAUUGGAGAAACAGGAGAGUGAAGUGGAAAUAGCCUGGCCUGCGUGACUUAAACCGGCCCGGAGAUGUGCGGGUACGAAUGGAGCCGCCUUGGGGUCGGGAUAGGACCCAGAGUGGCUUCUCAGUCAAAGGCCUUCAGCAGCAGAGGGAGCACCUUGAGUGACCUUACCUGGGCCGCCAAAGACAAGAAACCUUUGGCACAGGAAGAGGAACUGAUCUCUGGAAGCCACCAGGGCGGGUGGAAAGUCAGGGUUUCAAGGUUAUUUUGGAAUUUAGGUGCUGUGGGCCCUACACGGUGGAUCAUGCUUGUCAUCCCGGUGCUUUGGGAGGCCGAGACAGGAGGAUCGCUUGAGCCGAGGAGUUCCAGAGCAGCCUGGGCAACAUAGUGAGACUCUGUGUCUACAAAAAAAUAAAAAAGAAAGAAAAAAAACUAA